rnacentral:rRNA from 1 species
GAUGAACGCUGGCGGCGUGCUUAACACAUGCAAGUCGAACGAAGCGCUUAAACGGAUUUCUUCGGAAUGAAGUUUUUGCGACUGAGUGGGCGGACGGGUGAGUAACGCGUGGGUAACCUGCCUCAUACAGGGGGAUAACAGUUAGAAAUGACUGCUAAUACCGCAUAAGCGCACAGUGCUGCAUGGCACAGUGUGAAAACUCCGGUGGUAUGAGAUGGACCCGCGUCUGAUUAGCUAGUUGGUGGGGUAACGGCCUACCAAGGCGACGAUCAGUAGCCGGCCUGAGAGGGUGAACGGCCACAUUGGGACUGAGACACGGCCCAA